GAAACUGCGAAUGGCUCAUUAGAACAGUUAUAGUUUAUGUGAUAUAUUAAAUGGAUAACUGUAGGAAACUAGAGCUAAUACAUGCCAAGGCCGACAGGCUGCAUUUAUUAGAUAUACCAAGAAGGUGAAUCAUAAUAACUUUGCAAAUCGAAACUACGUUUCGAUACAUCAUUUAAGUUUCUGACCUAUCAUGCUCUCGAUGGUAGUGUAUUGGACUACCAUGGCAGUCACGGGUAACGGAGAAUUAGGGUUCGAUUCCGGAGAAGGAGCCUGAGAAACGGCUACUACAUCUAAGGAAGGCAGCAGGCGCGUAAAUUACCCAAUCCUAAAUCAGGGAGGUAGUGACAAGAUAUAACAACGCGAUUAAAUGUCGCGAUUGUAGUGAGGGUGUUCUAAAAAUAGCUUCGAGUACGAUUGGAGGGUAAGUCUGGUGCCAGCAGCCGCGGUAAUUCCAGCUCCAAUAGCGUAUAUUAAAGUUGUUGCAGUUAAAAAGCUCGUAGUUGGACUUCAUAAGAUGUAAAUGGGAUAACCAUUUGCUCUUUACCAGUCUUUGACUGUUACUGUGAGAAAAUUAGAGUGUUUCAAGCAGGCAAUUGCAGGAAUACAUUAGCAUGGAAUAACGAAUGUAUCUACAAUUUGGUUGAUUGUAGAAUACGAUUAAUAGGGACAGUUGGGGGCAUUAGUAUUUAAUUGUCAGAGGUGAAAUUCUUGGAUUAGUUAAAGACUAACGUAUGCGAAAGCAUUUGCCAAGGAUGUUUUCAUUAAUCAAGAACGAAAGAUAGGGGAUCAAAGACGAUCAGAUACCGUCGUAGUCCUAUCUAUAAACUAUGCCGACUAGGGAUUGGAAUGAUCUGCAUCAUUUUCAGUACCUUAUGAGAAAUCAAAGUCCUUGGGUUCUGGGGGGAGUAUGGUCGCAAGGCUGAAACUUAAAGGAAUUGACGGUUUUGCACCACCAUGGAGUGGAGCCUGCGGCUUAAUUUGACUCAACACUGGGAAACUCAUCAGGGCAAGAAGAUUUUAGGAUUGACAGAUUGAGAGUUCUUUCUUGAUUGGUCUAGUGGUGGUGCAUGGCCGUUCUUAGUUGGUGGAGUGAUUUGUCUGGUUAAUUCCGUUAACGAACGAGACCUUAACCUGCUAACUAGUACACUGAUUUCCAAUCGGUGUUACUUCUUAGAGGGACUAUGUGAUGUAAUCACAUGGAAGUUUGAGGCAAUAACAGGUCUGUGAUGCCCUUAGAUGUCCUGAGCUGCACGCGCGCUACAAUGACACAUUCAACGAGUAUUUCCUGACCCGAAAGGGCUCGGGUAAUCUUUUUAGUGUGUGUCGUGAUAGGGAUAGAUCUUUGUAAUUAUGGAUCUUGAACGAGGAAUUCCUAGUAAGCGCAUGUCAUCAGCAUGUGCUGAUUACGUCCCUGCAAAAUGUACACACCGCCCGUCGCUAUUACCGAUUGGGUGUAUAGGUGAACCUUCUCGAUAGUCGCAAGACUAGAAAUUAAGUAAACCUUUGCACCUAGAGGAAAUAAAAGUCGUAACAAGGUUUCCGUAGGUGAACCUGCAGA
rnacentral:rRNA from 1 species